AGUGAACGCUGGCGGUAGGCCUAACACAUGCAAGUCGAACGGCAGCACAGUAAGAGCUUGCUCUUACGGGUGGCGAGUGGCGGACGGGUGAGGAAUACAUCGGAAUCUACUUUUUCGUGGGGGAUAACGUAGGGAAACUUACGCUAAUACCGCAUACGACCUACGGGUGAAAGCAGGGGAUCUUCGGACCUUGCGCGAUUGAAUGAGCCGAUAUCGGAUUAGCUAGUUGGCGGGGUAAAGGCCCACCAAGGCGACGAUCCGUAGCUGGUCUGAGAGGAUGAGCAGCCACACUGGAACUGAGACACGGUCCAGACUCCUACGGGAGGCAGCAGUGGGGAAUAUUGGACAAUGGGCGCAAGCCUGAUCCAGCCAUACCGCGUGGGUGAAGAAGGCCUUCGGGUUGUAAAGCCCUUUUGUUGGGAAAGAAAAGCAGCAGGUUAAUACCCCGCUGUUCUGACGGUACCCAAAGAAUAAGCACCGGCUAACUUCGUG
rnacentral:rRNA from 1 species